UACGUAGGAUGCAAGCGUUAUCCGGAUUUAUUGGGUUUAAAGGGUGCGUAGGCGGACUAUUAAGUCAGUGGUGAAAGCCUGCAGCUUAACUGCAGAACUGCCAUUGAUACUGAUAGUCUUGAGUUUGGUUAAGGUAGGCGGAAUGUGUAAUGUAGCGGUGAAAUGCUUAGAUAUUACACAGAACACCAAUUGCGUAGGCAGCUUACUGAGCCGACACUGACGCUGAGGCACGAAAGCGUGGGGAUCGAACAGGAUUA
rnacentral:rRNA from 1 species